rnacentral:rRNA from 1 species
UACGGAGGGUGCGAGCGUUAUCCGGAUUCACUGGGUUUAAAGGGUGCGUAGGUGGGCAGGUAAGUCAGUGGUGAAAUCUCCGGGCUUAACCCGGAAACUGCCAUUGAUACUAUCAGUCUUGAAUACCGUGGAGGUAAGCGGAAUAUGUCAUGUAGCGGUGAAAUGCUUAGAUAUGACAUAGAACACCGAUAGCGGAGGCAGCUUGCUACACAGUCAUUGACACUGAGGCACGAAAGCGUGGGGAUCAAACAGG